GAUCUGGUCAGGACGAACGCUGGCGGCGUGCCUAACACAUGCAAGUCGAACGGAGUCAAGAAGCUUGCUUUUGACUUAGUGGCGGACGGGUGAGUAACGCGUGAGUAACCUGCCUCUGAGAGGGGAAUAACGUUCUGAAAAGAACGCUAAUACCGCAUAACGUAUCGAAGCCGCAUGACUUUGAUACCAAAGAUUUUAUCGCUCGGAGAUGGACUCGCGUCCGAUUAGUUAGUUGGUGAGGUAACGGCUCACCAAGACCGCGAUCGGUAGCCGGACUGAGAGGUUGAUCGGCCACAUUGGGACUGAGACACGGCCCAGACUCCUACGGGAGGCAGCAGUGGGGGAUAUUGCGCAAUGGGGGCAACCCUGACGUAGCAACGCCGCGUGAAGGAUGAAGGUUUUCGGAUUGUAAACUUCUUUUAUCAGGGACGAAAUCUGACGGUACCUGAUGAAUAAGCUCCGGCUAACUACGUGCCAGCCGCAGC
rnacentral:rRNA from 1 species